UACGUAGGGUGCGAGCGUUAAUCGGAAUUACUGGGCGUAAAGCGUGCGCAGGCGGUUCGUUGUGUCGGCGGUGAAAGCCCCGGGCUUAACCUGGGAAUGGCCGUUGAAACUGGCGAACUGGAGUGUGGCAGAGGGGGGUGGAAUUCCGCGUGUAGCAGUGAAAUGCGUAGAGAUGCGGAGGAACACCGAUGGCGAAGGCAGCCCCCUGGGCUAACACUGACGCUCAGGCACGAAAGCUAGGGGAGCAAACAGG
rnacentral:rRNA from 1 species